UUCGAUGUAAGAUCUUGAGCUUAGUCUGAAUUUUACUGUAUGUACAAUCACCACAUAAAACUAGGAUUAAUGAACAUAACAACACAUUUAUGCUAAAGUAUUUGUAAGAUAUGAAGUGAGGUUACCAGACACUGAUCUUGGUAUGUAUCCUCCUGAAACAUGUAAACAAGACAUACAGACAUACAUACAUCAAGCAAUCACAAAACUUUAACCAUAAUCACCUUGUAUUACAAUAUGCUCACAUGCCUUUUCAAUAGGUGUGGACAUAUACUGUUGAUUUUAUUUGAUAUUGCGCAUCUAAAAUUGUUUCUCAAGUUUUCUUAGGUCGAUGUUGGAAAGUGUCUUCUGAGUUGUCUAUGUUAAAUGUUUAUGUACUUACAAGUAUUUUUCGUGUCUUGGCAGCCAACAUUACAUAAACCUAGUAUUAUGGCUCACAUAAGGGGGAGAAAACACUUCGUCUCCACUAUGCAAAUUGCAGGUAGACUCCGCGGAUAUACAAUUUUCCAUAUCUUUGUUGAUUUUUUCACAUGUAGUUUUGAUGUAUCUCAGGACUGAUUUUUAAAACUACUUUGGUUCCAGUACAUAUAAUGCAGAUUUUGAUAGAGAUGAGAUGAAUGUCCAUUUUCCACAAGAUGAGAUUUCACGAGCUGAGGCUUACAAUAUUGUCAAUGCCAACAACCAAUAUGCCAGGCCUUCUAAUGGUGAUCCACUUCGAGCUUUAAUUCAGGUUUCUUCAAACCCUUAUAUUCAUUUCACAAAUUGGGUCUUAUUUUUAGCUUGCUUUGACUAGAUGUUAGAGAGCUAAAUCAGUCUCUAGAUGGUUAGAGAUUUUAUUUUCUAUUUUUAGAUUUUACAACUUUAAGUUGAUUUAGGACUUAAUUUGAAUCGUCUUGUUCAAACCCUUGGUAUCUUUUAGGAUGAAAUUAUUCACUUGCAUAUGAAUUGGUACAGAAUCCUGUUUACCAGAUACGUUUUUAACAUGUAAGCAUAUGUUUUGUUUAUGUCAAAUGAUGAAUACAGUCAGCUUCUUUUCAGUAAUGGCGUGACUGACAUGGUACUCACUUCUUUUUCUGGCAAAAAAGUCACACAAUCAGCUUUAAUGCAGAGCUGUUGACUGUCACGCCUUCCAUUUUGAAACCAGUACCUCUUUGGACCGGAAAGCAGGUCAUCACGGCAGUGUUAACCAAAGGAGGUCAUCCCCCGUUCAGCGUAGAGAAAUAUACAAAACUUCCGGUUGACUUCUUCAAAUGUAGAUCAAUAGAAGCUAAAUCUAAAAGUGGAGAAUCCAACAAAAAGACCAAGAAGCAUGAUGUUAACGAAGAUAAACUGCUCAUCAGAAAAAAAAUGAAUUUGUCCGCGGUGUGAUUGUAUGAAGCAUGGAAAUUGUAGUUUACCAAAUAAUCUAAUCACAGACUACUGUCUUUCCUGCAGAUCCUCAGGACAUGAAAUCCAGAAUCGAGCGAGUUCUGUAUGAGGAUGGCGAACCUGCUUUGGCAUCUUUGGACAGGAGCGUCGUUAGUGAGCUCAACCAGCGUUCAAGCAAGGGGGUGAUGAACGAUUUGCUCUCUGAUGGGUUGUUGAAAACACCCGGAACGAAAAGACAGAACCUCUUGUUACCAAAAUGAGAUGAAGAAGCAGUUUACCAAAAGACAGAACCUCUUGUUAUAUUUACUUUUUCAAUGGAGCCUCUAUUGCAGCAAGUAAUUUUUCAUCAGUUCUUUCUCAUGUUAUCUACGUUGUGCAGGUUAAUUUCCAGCUAAUUUCUUCUCACCUUGGCCAGCAAUAUUUAGAAGGAAUGGUUUCUUGGAAGACAGACAUUACCUUGCUUCCAUUCCAUCCAUGGGAGCUGGAGGUUUUAUUAGUGAUAGAUUCCUUAGCGGUCUUCGCCCCCAAGAAUACUACUUUCAUUGUAUGGCUGGACGAGAAGGGUUAGUUGAUACUGCAGUGAAGACAUCACGUAGUGGAUAUCUGCAGAGAUGGUUGAUGAAAAAUCUCGAGAGCCUGAAAGUCAACUAUGAUUGUACAAUACGGGAUGCUGAUGGGUCCAUCAUUCAGUUCCAAUAUGGUGAAGAUGGCGUCGAUGUUCAUCGGUCUAGCUUCAUUCAAAAGUUCAAAGAAAUGACAAUAAAUAAAGAUAUGUAACUUCAAAAGAUUUAGCGAAGCAUGCUAUCUGGAUCCAGUACUGAUCUUCCUAUUACUCUUAAGGAAGGAGCUGAGAAGUUUGCGGAGGCAAUGCCUUGCUGAAGGGCAAAACCAAGGAUGAUGCAAGUCAAAUUACUGAUAGGUUGAGGAAAGAUUACGGUAGCAGAUAUUAUAAAGAUAUAGAAGUGUUCGUUAUACCAUUUGCAGUUCAUGGGGGUGAAGUUUGUAGUAUUCACAAGCUUAAGAUAAAUCUCUACAAAAAAUCACACAGAUAUUAAUGAAGAAGACUGGGAAGAAAUAUGACUGUUACGUUUUUGAGGAAGUUGGAAGACGCUAUAGAGACUCACAUAAAAAUGCUCUAUAGAAUCAGAUGCAUAAAGGUUGAGAAAGACAAGGGUCCAAAAUCUGGAAAUGAAACGGAUAAGGAUGAUUCUGACAGUGGAGAGGUGAUGAUGACGAGGGCGAGGAUACAGAGGCUGAUGACCUUGGUGCAGAUGCACAGAAACGAAAAUUAGUUUAUUUUCUAUCAUUUUUAAAAAAAUUUAAUUUAUUAAAAUAAAUUAAAAAACCAUAUUAAUUAUAUAAUAAAAAUUUAGAUUUUUUCGUAUAUGUUAUAUUUUGA